CAACCCGCUCUUAUCUGUUGCAUCUUAACACCUCUCUCAGGCCACCAGCCACUUGCACACCUUCGGAGUCCCGGGCUUCCUGUGACAGCCCAGCCCUCUAUCUUCGGCUUUCUGGGCUUGAGCCCUGCAGACAUUUGUCAAGUUCAGAGAAUGCUCUGGAGCCAGGAGAGGCAAGAGAGUUACAAGAAAGCUGAGAAUAAAUAGUUGAGUGAGCAGGAAGAGGGAUGGAAGGACGUCUGAGCAAGGCGACAGGAAAUGGAGAAGUACCGGAAGGAGCUGUGGGGAAAGGGAGAGACAUGAGGCAAAUGGAAGGGAAAGGGUGACAGGAGUGCGGAUCUUGAAGUCGAUUCCUACGAGUGGAGCAUAUAUAUAUCACUCAGGCUGAGACUCUGCAGGGACGAGGAGGGCGUGCAGGGGAGACCCGGCAUGGAGCAGCAGCAGGGCUAGAAACUGUGCAGGGGUGCACUUGGGAAGCAACUUUGUUGCACGUAUAAAACUAAGAGACUUUUCUCAAACCUGUAUUUGGGUAGCAAGCAUC